GGCAGACUAACCCAGACUUGAGAGAGCAGAGAGCUCUCAUGCUGCAGACAUGGGAUCAUGUCCUCUGAACAGAGGGUGAACUGAAGGUGUCUGGGGAUGGGUUUACAAGUGAAGAGAGAGAAGCACCCCUAUCUGCUGAAUCCUGGGUCCCCAAGCCCGGCAUAGCUCUGGUGUCUCCUUCCUUCCUGAUGUACCCCUCUGCUUUACCCAUUUCUUCCUAUUGUAGGGUGUCCUGGGCCGGGUCUACGAGACAGUGGUGAUGUUGAUACUCCUCACUCUGCUUGUGCUGGGCAUGGUGUGGGUGGCAUCAGCCAUUGUAGACAAUGACAAGGCCAGCAGGGAGUCACUCUAUGACUUCUGGGAGUACUACCUCCCCUAUCUCUACUCCUGUAUCUCCUUCCUCGGAGUCCUGCUGCUUCUGGUGUGCACUCCACUAGGUCUCGCCCGCAUGUUCUCCGUCACUGGGAAGUUGCUGGUCAAGCCCCGGGUAUGUAGUGCUCCUUGCCUCUUGUGUGCCUACAUCUGAGGCCGAACCAUGAAGUGGACCUGCAGUGGUGGUGUGCACAACUUGCAGAAGACCACACCCUUGCUUGGCUUCUAUGCCCCCGCCCCCCAAUCAUCAGGAGCUGGUCAGAACACGAGGAAUUGGAAGGGAUAGGACAAAAAUGCUGGACACACUUGGGUUCGGUCCCCAGCUGAAAAAAAAAAAAAAAAAA
rnacentral:lncRNA from 1 species